rnacentral:rRNA from 1 species
UAGUCCACGCCGUAAACGAUGUCAACUAGCCGUUGGGGAACUUGAUUCUUUAGUGGCGCAGCUAACGCACUAAGUUGACCGCCUGGGGAGUACGGCCGCAAGGUUAAAACUCAAAUGAAUUGACGGGGGCCUGCACAAGCGGUGGAGCAUGUGGUUUAAUUCGAUGCAACGCGAAGAACCUUACCAGGACUUGACAUCCAGAGAACUUUCUAGAGAUAGAUUGGUGCCUUCGGGAACUCUGUGACAGGUGCUGCAUGGCUGUCGUCAGCUCGUGUCGUGAGAUGUUGGGUUAAGUCCCGUAACGAGCGCAACCCUUGUCCUUAGUUGCCAGCACUAAGUUGGGGACUCUAGGGAGGCUGCCGGUGUUAAACCGGAGGAAGGCGGGGAUGACGUCAAGUCCUCAUGGCCCUUACGGGUAGGGCUACACACGUACUACAAUGGCAGAUACAAACCGUUUGCAAAGCCGCGAGGUUGAGCUAAUCGGUAAAACACUAGUCCCAGUCCGGAUUGGAGUCUGCAACUCGA